rnacentral:rRNA from 1 species
AUAACCUGCAUGUCUAAGUAUAAGCAAUUAUACCGUGAAACUGCGAAUGGCUCAUUAAAUCAGUUAUCGUUUAUUUGAUAGUACCUUACUACUUGGAUAACCGUGGUAAUUCUAGAGCUAAUACAUGCUGAAAACCCUGACUUCGGAAAGGGUGUAUUUAUUAGAUAAAAAACCAAUGCCCUUUGGGCUCUUUGGUGAUUCAUGAUAACUUAACGGAUCGCAUGGCCUUGCGCCGGCGACGGUUCAUUCAAAUUUCUGCCCUAUCAACUUUCGAUGGUAAGGUAUUGGCUUACCAUGGUUUCAACGGGUAACGGGGAAUUAGGGUUCGAUUCCGGAGAGGGAGCCUGAGAAACGGCUACCACAUCCAAGGAAGGCAGCAGGCGCGCAAAUUACCCAAUCCCGACACGGGGAGGUAGUGACAAUAAAUACUGAUACAGGGCUCUUUUGGGUCUUGUAAUCGGAAUGAGUACAAUUUAAACCUCUUAACGAGGAACAAUUGGAGGGCAAGUCUGGUGCCAGCAGCCGCGGUAAUUCCAGCUCCAAUAGCGUAUAUUAAAGUUGUUGCAGUUAAAAAGCUCGUAGUUGAAUCUUGGGCCUGGCUGGCCGGUCCGCCUCACCGCGUGUACUGGUCUGGCCGGGCCUUUCCUUCUGGAGAACCUCAUGCCCUUCAGUGGGUGUGUUGGGGGACCAGGACUUUUACUUUGAAAAAAUUAGAGUGUUCAAAGCAGGCCUUUGCUCGAAUACGUUAGCAUGGAAUAUAGAAUAGGACGUGCGGUCCUAUUUUGUUGGUUUCUAGGACCGCCGUAAUGAUUA